AGCGGAUAAAAGUUAGCGCGUCCAAUACAGUAUUCUCAGUCAGGGCCCCGAGGAAAGACUUCAGACAGGACCGUGGUUACGAAGACGAAGAAGGCAUGCCGAAGGGUCCCGAAGCAGGUAGACGAGGGUGGCUCCCGACUCUGGUUCCCUCGGGAGAGAAAAAAAAAAUCCCCCCUGCCUGUAUGGUUAGAAAUGGUGUUCCUAACUAGCUAGCAACACCGUUUUACCCACUUAAGUCUUACUCCGUAUCCCGACGUGUGUCCAGUUCUUUACAAAUAUGGGAUCUAGCUGGAAACAAAGGGACUUCCCAGGAGCCAUUUCCUGGGGGGAUAGUGGCUGCGGUGGUCACAUGUGGACCAGGGGCCAUCUGAACCCCAGGGAAAAGUCUGGAACACCAUGAUUUCAUCUUCUUGCUGGGAGGUGGUUAGAAUUUCACCGGAAAUUUUAGUGACGGGGUCUGCGUAGGGAGUUGAGAUGAUCUCAGGGAAACAGCUGUGAAAUACCUAUUUCAUUAAAUCUACUAACCAUGAUUAUGCUAAGAUGGGGGCAGAAAUAGCUCUGGAUAAACAUAUCUGUGACUAUGCUAGGAUCUCAUUUAGUUUGACCAGGGAACAGAAGUUUGAGAAGCCGAGGACAUGGUUACACUGGAAAUGUGGCUACUCUGACGCUUUGACUUUUUUUUUUAAUUUUUAAAAAAUGUUUAUUUUUGAGACACACACACACGCACACACACACACACACACAGAGCGUGAGCAGGGAAGGGGCAGAGAGAGAGGGAGACACAGAAUCCAAAGCUGCUCCGGGCUCCGAGCUGUCAGCACAGAGCCCCCACGCGGGGCUCGAACCCAUGAGCUAUGAGAUCAUGACCUGAGCCCAAGUCGGAAGCUUAACCUGAAGUCAGACGGUUAACCGACUGAGCCACCCAGAUGUCCCUGACGCUUUGACUUUCUAAAGUAUGGUAUUUUAAACCAUUCUUCAGGACACUGGGCAAUACCAACUUGAAGAGAGAGGCAAGGUGGGAAUUGAGGGAGUUUUCGGAAUGGUAAUGACCAAGUACUCACACAACUGCUCCUUAGUAACCCGUUGGUUUGGUAACUUCCCUCCUCUCCACAGACCCCUACAUUUGGGCUCACGCUCGAGCCUAAGCAGGCACUGAGAUGCAGCUCAUUCCUGGCUGUCCUCGAGAGAAACAUUCCUACUAACCACCCCCCCCCCCCCCCCGCCCCAGAUCAUGCUGCCCAUUCACCCCCACAGCUUCCCAUCCCUGGCAUAGUUCCUGCUAGCCCUGCUCACCGCUCCUUAUUUAAAAAAAAAAAAAAAAAAAAGCCUUUUUCUGUUCGAUUUUGAGAUGCCUGUGGAUCUUGCGGUCGGAGCAUUCUCUCUAUUGCAACAGUCUUUUAAAUAAAUUCUUUCUCUACCUACCCCUGGAUCUGUUUUAUUGACAGAUUUAAAGUGUCAUGAGGCAACUCAAGAUUGGACAUCACUUACAGAACCCUGUCGUACCUGCCCAGGUAUCUAACGGCACCUUGCAAUUGCUUCGAACUCGGCUCCUGUUCGUGAGUUCGGGAAUCCUUUGGUAAAUUCAGUUCUCACACCAGUGCCCUGGGCAUCAUGUCUAUUACAGCACAGUAAGGAGUUACUUUGAUUCUUUGGGCAUAGGAAUCUUUCUUUGGCAUUUUGAGUGGGCAGUCGUUCCCUGGCUCUUGAGAAGGAAACUUCCCUAUUCUUCUGUAUGAUGACUCCUUUGUUUUUCCUUGGGAAUUGGAGGAGGGAAUUUCUUUGGCCCUUCCGACAGGGACGAUACAGGGGAGUAAUCAAGCAGGACUCUUUCCUGGCUUCUUUAAGGGCUUAUCUCUGGUCUAAUGAACUAAUAUCGUGGGUAACUCUCACUCUACUUUCCCUGCUGGACUAUAUGUUCCAUCAUUAUGGCAUUAAUUCAGGUCAAUACGUUCAAAAGUAGCAAGAUUUUACUACAGAGAAUUUAGAAUUUCGGUGGCCUCUUUGGGAAACAUGGGAUCUCCCCAUGCUGGCUCAUCAAUUACCUAUCCCUUCCUAUCACCCACCCCCCCAUCCUCCUUCCUCCUUUUCAUGACCUUCAAACUUCCCUUCAUCUCCCUGAAUCCUUCGAUCCGUCUCUCCCCCUUUAACACUCCUACCUCCUCUAUCCCUCUAUCCACUUCUGCCAAACUUUUUCCAUCCCACUUGGGCCCUUCAACAUCUUAUAGUCACUUAAACUCUAGGCCCCCCUCUCCCUGUUGGAAGUUAUUGAGCGGCUUCGGGACCCCGAGAGCAAACACCUAAUGCUGAAAAAGCUACUUAGAAACAGGCUGAGUGCUUUUUCAACUCAGAUGAGCUCUAGACACCCAGACAGACGGUCACCUGAUAUCUCCUCAGUCCCUUGCCCUAGAUUUAAUCCACAGCCUCCAAAGAAAAUUAAGGGUCUCCUCCACUAAUAUUGUUGGGGGCGCUUCAGCUCUCAUAAUGAGCAGAUGUCCUCCAUUGCUCCAUCCACCAGAAAUGUAGUCCUGAUUUUUAUAAAAACGUAAAGGUGUCCAAGGGCAAGAGCCAACUGUUUGUAACCAAUGAGUUAAAAAUUAGAAAUUAAAGCCAUUAGUCCAGCCAUUAGUUCUCUGUGUCUGGCUGUCUAUGUAUUUAUGUAUGUUCUUUUCCUAUCCCUAGAUAGUAUUAACAUAUUAGAUUAUAAAAUGCCUUAAAGAACUCUAUUUUAAUUGGCUUAGAGGUAAAUAAGCAUUUCUAUAAAUUAAAUAUGUCUAAAAUUCUCAAAAGUUAACGGAAUUUAACAUCUAGGAUUUUCAAAAAGAGUCUUAUAGAAACUAACCCAAAUAUUUUUUACAGUUUUUAUUUACAUUCCAGGUAGUUGGGGCGCCUGGGUGGCUCAGUCAGUUAAGGGUCCAACUUCAGCUCAGGUCAUGAUCUGGUGGUCCUGAGUUGGAGCUCCAGGUCGGGCUCUGUGCUGACAGCAGGGGGCCUACUUGGAAUUUUCUCUCUCCCUCUCUCUCUCUCUCUCUCUCUCUCAAAAAUAAAUAAACAUUAAAAAAAGAAAAUAAAUUCCAGUUAGUUAACAUACAGUGUCAUAUUAUAGUUUCAGGGGUACAAUGUAGUGAUUCAGCACUUCCGUACAAAACCCAGUGCUAACCCAAAUAUUUUUAAAAUUCAAGUCAACACAAGUUCAGUAAAUCUUGGCAAACAAGACUAAUUUAGUAUUAUUGGUUUAAUAAAAUUAGCUCUUUUAUCUUCUGAGUUAUCAAGUUUAGAUAAAAUAUAACCAGACUUUUUUAUUCUAUUUGGAAUAUUCUUCCUAAAACUUACACGGGUUUACUGAUUGAAUAGACUAACGCUACAUCUAUUAAACAUUUAAGAUUGUUAAAAAUGUAAAUUUGUGUUGAACCAAAUUAAAUCAUUAUCCUGACAAACUUUAUUUUGCCACGAAUUAUGUUUUAUAAUAUGUCAGCUUGAAAACGGUUUUCAGAAUCUUCUGGUAAAUUCAAACCUUAGACUUAUGCUAAAUUAAUUAAUGAAUGUUUAUUAAAUAACUAGAUCAUUUUUACAUAAGAUAAAUAUUGAAACGUUAAUUAGUAAGCAUACUUUUAAGGCUAUAUAUGUUUGGCUCUAUUAAUAUUCAUUUUUGCCUCAAUGAAAAGUUAUACCACAAGAGAUAAUUAUAGCUAUAAAAAUUGUGAGACCUAUAUUCAUAAGGUCUGGUGAUCUGCUACAAAAUACUGGUGUGUGACAGACAGUUCACAAUUUUCCACCUCCUGGCUUCUCUAAAAUAAAAGUUACUGUGGAUGAAUGUUGUAACCAGUAUCUGUGAGUAAAACUCUAUCAGUGGCAAUAGUAGCAUAUAGGAACAACUUUGUAGGCAAAGCAUAGAAGAUGUGUUCUUAUUAAGGGAAAAAAUAGUUUUGUCCUAAGGUAAAAUGACUGGUUGCUCCAGAAUAAAAAAGAAGAAAAUGUAGGAUAAAAUUUAAACGGAUGUAAAUAGUGAUAAAGGGGGGAUUCUAUGUGUUGCGGUCAAAGAUGGCAAAGGAUUAACAGGCUUAUUUUUCAUUUUUUAAAAAGGAAAUUUAAUAUCAAAUAUACUCAUACAAAACUGGAAUUGGGGUUUUCUCUCUGUUAAAUAACAAAAUGUGUUUGGAUUGUAGAUCUGCUCUUAAUAGGAAAUUAUAAGAGUUUUUCUUUGACUUCUAAGUAAUCUGUCAAGAAAGGCAAGAAUACUGUGCCUCAUCAGAGUAAUUCCCUAUGCUUUUGUGUUGGUUUUAUUAUGUCCUUGAUUGUUUAAGAAACCAAAGUCUUCUCACUUUUCAAAGUUUGAACUUCUUUACAAACUGCCAUAAUUUCCAUGCUUUGCUCUGGGAAACCUUACCGCAACCACAAAUAUGAUCGCCACAGAGCUACCUAAGUUUCAACAAGUGGUCCUUUAUUUUUUUUUUUUUAAUUUUUUUUUUCAACGUUUAUUUAUUUUUGGGACAGAGAGAGACAGAGCAUGAACGGGGGAGGGGCAGAGAGAGAGGGAGACACAGAAUCGGAAACAGGCUCCAGGCUCUGAGCCAUCAGCCCAGAGCCUGACGCGGGGCUCGAACUCACGCACCGCGAGAUCGUGACCUGGCUGAAGUCGGAUGCUUAACCGACUGUGCCACCCAGGCACCCCUAACAAGCGGUCCUUUAAAAUCUUAUGGCAUUGGACAUGAUUCUGGCUUCCCAAAGGGGCACUUAUACAGUGAGCGGUGGUGAGAAGGACUGCCAUGCAUAUGUUCUCCAAAACAUCUCGGAUUGUCUAUGCUAUCACCAAAACUAUUCAAAACACAAACCAUCAGAUCACCACUGCUAUUCUCACUCUACCAUCUAAGGACACUUUGGGUCCAAUGUCCCGGACUCCUCUUGGUAGACUCCCUUCUGGUAUCAGAUCUGGGGUUUACUCCCACAUUCAGCCUUUAGUAAUCAUUCUUUUUGUUAUAUUCCUAGGCAUACCUCUCACCAGUGCCUUGUCUCUAAGACCUUCCAACAGCUGUUGGUUGAUAAAAUGCUCAACAUAUAAUAUAGGUAAUACUUCAAAGCCAACAAGAAUGUGUGUCCAGCCCACCCGUGAAAACUGUGAGCAACUUUGACCUCAUGGCAACUCUAACUCUAUCCAUGGUAGUGUUUAGGACAGUCUUUGCCUAUUUUAUUUUAUUUUAUUUUAUUUUAUUUUAUUUUAUUUUAUUUUAUUUUUAAUUUAUUUUCUUAAGUUUUAUUUAUUUGAGAGAGAAAGAGAGAGAGAGAGAGAGAGAGAGCGAGCACAGGGGAGGAGCAGGGAGAGAGAGAAUCCCAAACAUGCUCUGCACUGUCAGUUGCGGGGCUUGAGCUCACGAACCAAACUGUGAGAUCGUGACCUGAGCCAAAACCAAGAGUUGAUCACUUACCUGACCGAGCCACCCAGGCGCCCCCUGUCUUGGCCUAUUUUAAGCAACACCAGGGACUGACCAAGUGCUCCCAAUUAUCCAUAACAUACCCUCUGACCUGGCUUAACCAAACUUCAGUCACGCUUUUCUCCUCACAGGCUCCUGAACUUUGGCUCACCCCCAAGCUUAAGCAAGAACCAAGAUGCAGAAAUUCCCCAUUCAAUAGCUCAUUCUAAGAAUGGGCUAAAGACAGAGAAACGUUUCCCGUUUCCAUGAUGCCGUCUGCUCGCUCCCACCACCGGCCCCAGCACACGCACACCAACUUCCUGCUGCCCCUGCUUCCCCUUUCCUAUAAGAGAAACACCUUCUUCUGUUCAGUUCUGAGACACUUGCGGGACCUGUGGUCAGAGCAUUCUCUCUGUUGCGGCGGUCUUUUCGAAUAAAGCUGCUUCUUACAUAAAUCUGGAUUUGUUUUUACUUGACAGUAAAAAUAAGCAGGGAUUCUGUGGUUUAAUGGUUAUUCCUCAUUUAACAGAUACAAUUAAACCCCUACUGUGUUUCAGGCCCGUUGUGGGUGCAAAGGACACAUCAAAAACGAAAAGACGUAGACCCCUGCCCUCACGGGGCUUGUGUUCCAGUCAAGGAAGAGGGAAGGGAACCAUAAACAACUAAAAAGUUAAAUGCUACUGCAUAGAGAGCCAGUUAUGGGUGAUGAGAAAUGGGGAAUCCCCCCCCCCCCCCGCCCCCGACGAGGGCAGUAAGGGAAGGCCUUACUAAUCCAGGGCAUUUAGGCAAAGACUUCAAAAAGCGAGGGAACGACCCUGCAGCUCCCCCGGGGGCGGAAGAAACGGCCUGGACAAAAGCCCUCAAUUGGCGUUGUGUGUGCCCUUCUGAAAAAGCGACGGGGGGCUCGUGCCGAGGGGACCAGGUGAGCGAGGAGGAGAGUAGAAAGGGAUGAGCCGCUGGUGAGAGACAGCAGGCAGGAGAAGGAGGAAAGUAAUAGGAAAUUCAUCUUUCCGUUUACGUGACCACUCGGUUCACGGCACACAAGCCGCACCGUGCCGUCAGUGGUAGUAAAGAGGGGAGGCAUUUGUCGUGGUCUGAAGGCGAGGAGGGAGGGGAGGGGUGCUUUGAAGGAAAGACCCCCGGGGCGAAUCCUCGCUCACCCGAAGCAGGUAGACAAGUGAAAGGGUGGGCAGGCGCUUUCCAGACCGAGCGAGGCGGGGAGACUUCGCACAGGCGCCAAGGCCCAAGGAAACACCGGUCCUUCGGGAGUAGACGUGUAGGAGAUGACCGCCAUCGAAGGUAGAAGGGGGGAGUUGGGAGAACAGGUGGCCCCGGAGACACAGAGAGGUAAGAAGGCAAAGGCACAGCUGCGCAUGUGUCAAUGUAAUGGCUGUAUCGCUCUGCUGUGAAAUAGCUUUGUUAACGUUUUCUAAUUAUCAAUACAUAAUGCAAAACAGUCUGGAAAUGCGAGAACUGUCACCAAUGAGAUGAGAAAGCGCCCAUAAUGCCGUCUCACAGAAAUAUGUACUGCUAAUGUUUUGGUGCUUACUGUUCUACCUCGAAUGUUUAUAAUGUAUAUAAUAUAUACCGUUAGAUGGGCGUAUGUACAUAAAUCAGUAUACAUUUUUUUUUAUUUGUAGAAGUUGAAUCAAAGUCUGCAAGCUGUAUUGCGGUCUUCCUUUCAGCACAGUAUUUCGGGAAAAUAUUUCCAUGUCAACACACACCUAUCGGUCAUGGUUUGUAACGAUCGCUACGGUGUUCAGAAUUCCCACACCAUCCCAUCCUGGGUCCAAGUCUCAUGAAGUCAGGGACCGUGCGUGUCCCGUUCAUUGCAGCGUCCCUAACAUCGGGCAACGUCUAGAACGUAAAAGAGCCUAAUAAUGUGCGAUUUUUGGAUUUUCAUGUGUCUUUACAAUCUUUACUCUCAUAAACAAUGUCGCUGUGGAGAAACACGUGCACAGAUGCUUGCAAACUCUUUGGUAAUGUUUUUAGAUUAGAUGCCGAAAAAUUAAAAUGCUAAGUAAAAAUGUACGUUCUUUUCAAGGCUUUUUAUAUCAAUUGGCAACUGCCCUUCAGAAGACUUUUUUAUUGCCAAUUCAUAGUCUGACUGAAAAUAGAUGAGAACGCCAUUUUUCUCACAUCCUUGCCAACCCUACGCAGGAACAGUAGUUUGCAAACAUGAUACGUGAAAAAGUAAUCUCACUUAAAUAUAUAUAUAUAUAUAUAUCAAAUUAUAUAUAUAUAUAAUUUGAUUACUAGUAAGAUGAAAUAUCUUUUCAUAUUUUAUUGAUGUUGAUCACUAGUAUUUUUUUUGUGUGAAUUUCUUGAUUACAUCUUUUGUUCUCUCUCAUUUCGUAUUUGUCUUUUCCUUAUUUAUAACUUUUCACUUAUAAAAAGCUUUCGGCAUUUGGUCUAGGCAGUAAACGUUAUAGUUGCUUCUGUGACAUUCAUUUCACCCAUCCCCAAUUGUAUAGCACUUAACGUGGUUUGGAAUGGAUCAACCCCACUUUCAGGUCUAGGGGUAGACUCCGAUUGGUCUACACUCCAGAGGAUAAUUCCAUCUUCUGCCCUUGGUGAUUCAAUCAGGAGCUGGCCCCUAAUUCAGGCCUAGGCCAAUCAGUGAUUCGUUCAGAGGUGGCUGGUAAUAGCAGUCCCAUGGAGGAAUACUAAAGACAGUGCAAUAACUACACCCUACACACAGAGAGAGGCACUAGCCCGAGCUUAACUGGAUAGGUGAUGGAAAUAAUCCCUGAACAGAGUGAUUGAGUUUAGGAGUAAUCAGAAGUGAACUUAAGACACGUUUAAUAUUAUGGGAAGUAGAACAAGUUCUAUCCUGGCAGUUAACAAAAAAUCCUACAGCCCCACUUGCAAGGCACAACUAUCUUAUGAAUAUGAAGAAAGCUAUCCUGAGGAUGAAGUCAGCACCAGAAAGAGUAUGGAAUCAAGAGAAACACAGAUAAUCGGAUCCAGGGCUCUGCUAUAACUGUGCAACUCAACUAAGAAACUCAAACUAAGAAAAUAGACUUUUCUAAAAGUAUUUUAAGGCAGCUUAAGAAUAGAUGAAGGUAAAAAAAACUAUUUUACUUACUCUCUUUUUUUAAAUUGACAUCCAAGUUAGUCAGCAUAUAGUGCAGCAAUGAUUUCAGGAGUAGGUUCCAGCGAGUCAUCUCCUGCGUAUAACAUCCAGUGCUCAUCCCAACAAGUGUCUUCCUUAAUGCCCCUUACCCAUUUAGUCCGUCCCCCCACCCACAACCCCUCCAACACCCCUAAGUUUGUUCUCUAUGUUUAAGAGUCUCUUACGUUUAAUUGAUCUAUUAUAACUGUUCAAAGUAAUAAUACUGACAACAUAUUAGACAAUUAAAGCGUCCGGAUAAAGUGAAAUGAAAGGCAGCAAUGUUAGAAGGGACAGGAGGGAGGAAUUGAGAACAUUCUGUUAUGUGACCUUCGCUAUCCACGAAGUGAUAGAGUGUUAUCUGCAAGCUGACUUGGGUCAGUUGUAAAUUUAUAUUGUAACCCCCUGGGCAAACACUAAAACAAUUUUUGAAAAGUAGAAUCGAUAUGGUGAGAGAGGAGAGAAAGUGGACUCAUUAAAAUGUUCAGGUAAAAUCCGAGAAGGCAGAACAAGAUGGGAAGGGGGGACGAGACACAAAAAUAGUGCAACUUGUAGGAAACAGUUAGAAACAUGGUAGGUAUUAAUAAAAUAUAAGAAUAAUCACUUGAAAUACAGAUGGUCUAAAUACACCAAUUAAAAGAGACAUACUGACACAGUGGAUAAAAAAAGACCCAGUGAUAUGUUGUCUAUUAACAAAGUACACUGAGAGAGUGUGGAUAUUUCAGUGGAAGAGGAAAAACUAAAAUGAACUCAGGGAAACAUAUGUGAACAACUGAAAUAGAUAAACCUAUUAAAAAGGACAUGCAGUUAACAUUAACCAAAAGCAAGAGGAAAACGAAUUUAUGAAAAGUAAAAGAUCUUUGUAAAGUGAUGUUGAUCAUCUCCAGUCUGAUACACAGAUAAAUUUUUAAAAAUAAGCCUUUUGCAACAUUUAUUAGUGAAAAAAUUCCCCACUAUCCAAGCCUCCCAAAUGAAAAACCAUCUGCUGCACAGCAACCACAGGUGGCAUGCUUGAGAGGUAAGAAAUACUUGACAAUAGCAAAGCCAGUUUCUUAGCUUAGGAAAGCAAUUGAAGAAAGUAUGGAAUUUGGAAAAGACACACGAAUGCAUUAAAAAGAGUCGUUAAAAAAAUCCUACCUCCUGGUAAAAGAUUACAGUAAAACCUCGGCUUGCGAGUAGCUUGUUCUGCGAGUGUUCUGCAAGAUGAGCAAACAUUUCUAAUAAAUUUUAACUUGAUAAAUGAGCGAUGUCUUGCAUUACAAGUAGUACAUGAUGCCGAACAUCACAUGAUCACAACUGAGCCAAUGGUUCCUCUCUCUCUCUCUCUCUCUCACUCUCUCUGCGGGAUCGUGAGUGAUCCCCCCCGCAUGCUUGGAUGCUCAGUCUCAGGCGUGGUGUUUGGCAGAAAUCAGUGAUUUUUCAGAACGCUGGAAAGCGCCCACACCUGGUACUGGUGUAUUUUUUGUCCCUUCAAGGCACCUGUGGACAGUCCUUUGCUUUUCCACCCAAGAGUGAGCUUAGGAAUGCUCUGCUUCAUUCUAGGCCUGGCUGCCCGCAGAUAGAGACCCUUUCCUCUGCUGCCUUAUUGCCAGUUACAUUCAAUACAGCGUGUGACCAGAGUUUAUUAAUACCAUACCGUAGUCAACAUCCGUGCGAGUGUAUUACAAUGGCCCCCGUGCAGAAAAAGGUUCCAUCGAGCCAAUAGAUAAGUGAUUCCAUUCGUGACAGUGAAAGUUGUCCUACACAAUCACCCUCCUCUCUCUUGUCUCUCUCGCACCAGCCACGAAGGUUUUUGCAGGUUAAAUGCAGGUUAAUUUGGCUUUAUUUAUGUUUUGCAUUUUCUUUAUCAUUUUGUAUCCUAUUACAGUCUUGUAAUCAUUUUAUAUGAAUAUUUUUGGGUUGUGGAAUGAAACAUGUGAGGUUCCAUUAUUUCUUAUGGGAAAUUCGCUUUGAAACUACCAGUGGUUUGGAUUACGAACAUGUUUGUGGAACAAAUUAUGCUCGCAAACCAAGGUUUUACUGUAUUGUGUUUUUAUUUUUGUUUCUUACUAUAAGCUCAUUUUAAAAUCGAGAUGAUUAGAAUUUAUGGCAUGGAGUUUCUCCUCAUUUGUAUUUCAAGAUUUUCUGCUUGUUCUAAUUUGAUGUUUCCCAUUUAAAACAACUAGCUUUAUUGUGAUCCCAUGGCCUUCAUGAAGUAUUUUUGCACAUCUUUAUUGAUGUAAAUGUUUUUCCAUAUAUCUUAUUUUUUACUUUUUAUUUAGUGUGCAAUUUGAAGGAUUUUAAAGUUGGAUAAAAUAAAGUCAAAUUAAUCGAUGCAUCCAAGAAAUAUUUGUUGAAUACCUCUUUUGUGCCUUAUAUUCUACUGGACACUUACAUCAGUAAGCCCAAUAAAGAAAAACUCCUGUUUUAGUCGAAGUACAUUGGAGAGAGUUAAUAUCUUAUAUGUUACUCAACAGUCUUAUAUAUUAUUUAUAAUUAUCCUCUUGAUAAUUAUAUUAGGUAUUUUAAAAAUAUUUUAUAUAAGGAAACUGAGUCCUAGAGAGGUCAAGUGACCUGUGAACAUCACAUGACUAAUAAAAAGCUGGGCCAAGUUUGUAACCCAAUUUUGCCUUUGACUUUCAGGAUAACUUCAGGAAAUAGCAUUGUUCCUGUUACAGGAAUGAUGAUGCUAUAUUUGAGUGAAGAAUGUUUCUGAAAGCAAACGGGAAAAUGACCAAGCACAGUCACUGAGCCCCAGCCUGCAUGUUUAAUCUUUUAGGAUUUAAUGAGCAUUUGCUGAUUUCUGAUAAAUCUCCCUUUCUUCCAGUACUUAGGACAGACAUAACCUGUUCAGAUGCUGGAGUUUGUAUGAAGAUCAGAAUAGUUCAGGCAUUAUGACGCAAUAUUUGGGUAGGGUCUUUGUUUACAGAGAUCCUAACGUAAAUAGUUGACUGUAGUGGAUCUUAAAUCCUAAGUAAAAAGCCCUUAGGACCAAAAUAUAUGAGAAUAAAACAAAGCUAUUCAUUUUCUUAUAACAGGUCAGGUUCUCAUCAGAAAACGUUUUUUUUCUAAUAAUGCAUCCCUUUGGGACAAUGCAAAAAGUGAGAAUUUUAGAGGAAUUGUAUAGCUUGUUAUUAUAGAGUUAAAUGUAUCUCUAUUUUUCUAUGAUGUCCUUCUUUGGGGGAGAGUUAGAUCCUAGUGUGUUGGUCACACAGUGUGAGGUACACUAAUAAAUAGUGAAAAGUUCUUGAUGCAGUUUCCUAUGUUUUGUUUUACGUGGUUUCCCUUGAACGAUUUCUUUCUCUCAUAUGGAUUUAGUGUCUUACUAUCCUUGAAUAACCCCUGCUCUGAGUUGUCUGCUGAGCUCUGAGACCAUAUUUUUCAGCUACUAGCUGGACAUCCCCACUUGGGUGAUGCAGUGGCAACUAAAACUCCAGUAAGACUGGAAGCGAAUUAAUUUUCUUCUGUGCACAUGUCCUCCCUCGUAUUAACGUAAACCAGUUAAUGUCUCCACUAACUACACUCCAUCUCCCGGGAGAGAUAUAUAAAAGCCAUCCUUAGCUCCUUGCCCUUUUUAAUCACCCAUUGUCAAUAGAUCUUGUCAAUUCCAUUCCCAUAACUCAAGGGUGCCCCCUCUAACACAUCCACAAUGCUUGAGUUCAUGCGCUACUGAGCUCUUGGCCAAACUUUUGAAAUAUGAACAUAGCAUGGUUGUGAUUAACCCAAAUAAGCACAACAGUGCAGCUAGGAAGAGGUAUGCGUGCAAUUAAUGAGUCUGAUCGUUGACUAUAUAAUAUAAUCUGGAUAAGGAGGCAUCUGAGGAUGUAAGUGGGUGGCAGAAAUCCAAAGAGUGUAGGUUCAGUGUAUUAGAGAUGCUAGAGGGGGGUCAAAGAAUAUUUUAGAUGUGGUACCAAAGAGAGCAAGUUGGACAGUUAGAAGGUCGUGGUCAAGGAAUGGGAUUAUGAAGGAGUGUAGUUAUUGCAAAUGAUAAAGCCUAGGAUGUGGCCAUAGGUGUGACUGACUAUGAGGAAGAGAAAAGCAAGUUCACUGGAGGAAAGGAAAAGGAAAUGAGAAAACAGAGGACUGGUAGGACCAUCUGUAUUUAUACCGAAAUUCCCCAGAAUUAGGGCAUGAGUUGAGUUGGAGAGAGGGACAGGGAGUCAAGGGUCUGUAAACACCUCUAACAAGGGGGGACGAUGGGGUCUAUGCUGUGGAAAGAUGAGAUCUUUUGCACACAGUGGUGUUUAUGUUGGUGGUGAUAAUUUCCAGAGGAUCCAGCGAAUGAGUUUCGGGAGUUGAGGAGAGGUGGGAGAAAUAGAAAAGAAGAAGCACUAUACCUUUUAGAGUCCAGGAGAGAAAGGACGAAUGACUCAGGACUCUUAGCUUCUUGUGGUAACUGGCACAAAUAUAUAUAUAAAACAAGAUGAAAUCUAUGCUUUUAUUUUGGUAAAAAACACAUAACAUGAAAUCUAACCUCUUAACAAAUUUUAAAUUUCUAGACAGUCUUGUUUACUAUAUACACACUUUUGUACAACAGACUUCUAGAACCUUCUCACCUUGUAUGGCUGAAACUCUGUGCUUAUUGAACAGAAACUUCCCAUUUUGCAUUACCCCCAAUCCCUAGCGACCAUCAUUCUUACUUUCUGCUUCUCUGAGUUUGACUACUUCAAUUACUGCAUGAUUCCACUUGUCCUUCUGUGGCUGGCUUAUUUCACUUAGCAUAAUGUCCUCAAGUUUCAUCCACGUUGUAGCACAUGACCAGAUUUCCUGCUUUUUAAAAGCUGAAUAAUAUUCCAGUGUAUGCAUAUGCCACACUUUCUGUAUCCAUUCACCCAUCAAUGGACAUUUAGAUUGUUUCUACCUCUUGUCUAUUGUAAAUAAUGCUACAAUGAACAUGGGAAUGCAAAUGUCUUUUUGCGAUCCUGAUUUCAAUUAUUUUGGAAAAAUACCCAGAAUUGGAUUGCCAAAUCAUAUGAUAGUUCCAUUUUUAAUUUUGUGGGGGGGCUCUAUAUUGUUUUCCUGUUUUCCAUAGUGGCUGCACCAAUUCGCACUCCCACCAGCUAUGUACAAGGGUUCCAAUUUUUCCACAUUCUUGCCAACACUUGUUAUUUACUGUUUAAGAUAUGUAUUUAUAUAUUUAUAUAACUAUACUCAUAACUCUAUCUAUCUGUAAAAUGGCCAUUCUUGUAUGUGUGAGGUGGAAUAUUUCACUGUGGUUGUGAUUUGCAUGUGAUGUUGAACAUCUUUUCCUGCAUCUUUUGAUCAUUUUUUAAAAAUGUUUUUCCAGGGGUGCGCCUGGGUGGCUCAGUCGGUUAAGCGUCCGACUUCGGCUCGGGUCAUGAUCUCGCGGUUUGUGUGUUCGAGCCCUGCAUGGGGCUCUGUGCUGACAGCUCGGAGCCUGGAGCCUGCUUCAGGUUCUGUGUCUCCCUCUCUCUCUCUCAAAAAUAAGUAAACAUUUAAAAAUUUUUUAAAAUAAAAAAUACAACAAAAAUAAAUAAUUUUUCCAGUUUUAUUGACAUAUAAUUGAUAUAUAGCAUUGUGUAACUUUAAGGUAUACAGAGUGUUGAUUUGAUGCAUGUAUAUAUUGCAAAAUGAUUACCAGUAUAGUCUUAGCUGGCCCCGACAUCAUGUUACACAGUUACCAUUUCUUCUUUGUGAUAAGAACUAUUUAUUUAUUAAUAACUCUCUACCUUUUGAUCCCCUUCAACUAUUUCUCAUCUCCCACCCCUUGUCGUUGUCAGCACCAAUAUGUUCUCUAUAUCUAUGAGCUUGAUGUAUCUGUUUGUUUAGAUUCUACAUAUAAGAGAGAUCAUUAUAGCAUUUGUCUUUCUCUGUCUUUGGUAUAAGGCUCUCGAAAUUCACUCAUGUUGUGAGAUCUCAUCUCUUAGCGGCUUUCAGGUAUAUAAUCCAGCACUGUUAUCUACAGUCACCAUACCAUACAUUGGAUUUCCAGAACUUGUUAAUCUUAUAUACCUGAAGUUUGUACCCUUUGACCAACAUCUCCCCAUUUCCCCCACCCCUAACCCCUGGCAACCAUCACUCCGCUCUCUGUCUCUAUCAGUUUUGAAUUUUUGGAUUCCACAUAUAAGUGAUAUCAUACAGUAUUUGUCUUUCUCUACCUGACUUAUUUUACUCAGAGUAAUGUCCUCAAGAUCCACCCAUAUCGUUGCAAAUGACAGAAUUUCUUUCUUUCUGAUAGCUGAAUGAUAUUCCAUUCUAUGUGCAACAUGUACAAUAUAUAUAUAUAUGUACAUAUAUAUAAUAUAUAUAACAUAUCACUAUACACAUAUAAAACAUUUUCUUUAUCCAUUCAUCUAUUGAUAAACACUUAGGGUAAUUCCCUAUCUUGGCCGUUGCGAAUAAUAUUGCAAUAAACAUGGGAGUUCAGAUGUCUCUUCAAGAUCAAGAUUUAAUUUUCUUGGGAUCUAUACCCAGCAGUGGAAUUGCCAGAUCAUAUGGUAGUUGCUAUUUUUCAUUUUUGAGGACGCUCCAUAUUGUUUUCCAUAAUGGCCACACCGAUCUACACUCUCACCAGCGGCACACAAGGGUUCCCUUUUUCCACUGUCGCUAGCAUUUGUUAACUAUUGUGCUUUUCAUAAUAGCUGUCCUAACAGGUGUGAUGUGAUACCUCGUUGGGGUUUUGAUAUGCAUUUUCCAGAUGAUUAGUCAUAUUGAGCAUCUUUUCGUGUACCUGUUGGCCAUUUGCAUGUCUUCUUUGGAAAAUGUUUACUCAGGUCCUUUGCUCGUUUUUUUUUUUUAUUUUUUUAUUUUUUUUUUUAAAUUUUUUUUUUCAACGUUUAUUUAUUUUUGGGACAGAGAGAGACAGAGCAUGAACGGGGGAGGGGCAGAGAGAGAGGGAGACACAGAAUCGGAAGCAGGCUCCAGGCUCUGAGCCAUCAGCCCAGAGCCCGACGCGGGGCUCGAACUCACGGACCGCGAGAUGGUGACCUGGCUGAAGUCGGACGCUUAACCGACUGCGCCACCCAGGCGCCCCCCUUUGCUCGUUUUAAAAUCGGAUUUUUUUUUUCUUGUUUUUGUUUCUUUUGCUAUGGAGUUACAUGAGUUAUUUACAUAUUUUGGAUACUAACCCCUCAUCAGACAUACGAUUUGCAAAUAUUUUCUCCUAUUCUGUAGGUGGCCUUUUCAUUUUGUUGUUUCUUUCGCCGUGCAGAAGCUUUGUAGUUCAAUGUACUUCUACUUUUCUAUUUUUGCUUCUGUUGCCUGUACUUUUGGUAUCACAUACAAGAAAUCAUGGCUAAGACCAACCUUAUGAAGUUUCCCCUAUGUUUUCUUCUAGGAGUAUUAUAGUUUCAUGUCUUACAUUUAAAUCUUGAAUCAGUUUUUUUUAAAUGUUUGUUUAUUUUGAGAGAGAGAGAAAGAGACAGAGCAUGAGCGUGAGCGGGGCAGGGGCAGAGAGAGGGAGACACUGAAUGCGAAGCAGGCUCCAGGCUCUGACCUGUCAGCGCACAGCCUGCCAUGGGGCCCGAACUCACGAACGGCGAGAUCAUGACCUGAGCUGAAGUCAGCGGCUUCACCGACCGAGCCACCCAGGCGCCCCAAUCUUUAAUCAAUUUUGAGUUCUUUUUGUGUGUGGUGUAAGAUAAGGCUCUAAUUUUAUUCUUUUGCAUGUAGAGAUCCAGGUUCCCAACACGAUUAGUUGAAGAGCAGGCAGGAUGACAUGGAAUCAUGAUGAUCACAAGGCAGGAAGAGGUGACAAGCCUAUAGGAAAGGCGUGGGGGUCAGGGGACUUGCCAGGAGCAGGUAGAAUUCUGGAGCUCCCACUUGAUUCCUGAUGAUGGAGGGGUGGAGUCCUGCAGAGGGCUGUUUAUCACUCUCAGCACAUAGGCUGCCUCUGGACCUCUGCUGAAAAAAGCGUCAGAGCCAGCGGUGUGGUGCUGUCAUCGUGAGUCCACGAGCACUUUGUUGGGCUUUGCCUUUGUUCCUGCAAAGGAGUGGUAUUCAUGCAAGGACAUGGAGUUCGUCUUGACUUCCGGUCAAAGAAACCUCUGAUUUAAAUAACUUUCACCUCUUCUAUGUCAAUUAUUCUUCGAUAUUAAUUAAUGAAGUCAAUUAGUAUCCUCUAACUCCUACCCAUUCUUCAGUUUGUCCAUGUUAUUUUAUUACAUUUUCAAAACAGAUUCUUAGAUGUAAUUUGCAGGAUAGAGUGAUUCUCUCAGCCUUAUACGCCUAGAUAACUCUACUUCUGAUAAGAAUUUACAUCACAGCGUUGAUUUUUUAAAAAUUUACCCCUCUGAGGCGUGUUUCUGGUAAGCCGCGUAUUCAGGUAACGAUCAUAUAGGCGGCAUGUAGUAAACAGUAAAAUAAAUGAGUAGAGAGAAUAAAAAAUUAACACUUAGUGGGUAAUUGAGAAAAAGACUUUGGGAGGUGGCAGUUAGACUGCGCUUGGAAGAAUGUUAGGUUUGGGCUCGCGGAGGAUAGCAUGGAUAUAGGUGCAGAGGCAAACAGAGGAGUCUCAGGGAAAUCAUUGCAUUAGUCAACUUUUCUGGAGCAUAGGUUGCUUGAGUAGGGGUUGUUAUGGAUGUGGCUAGAAAGAGAAGUUGAAGCCUGUUCACAGGCGAUCUUUCGUAUUAGUCUAAAGCGUUUGCACCAUACUUUGUAACUGCUAAGGAGCAAAUGAUAGCUUUUGCAAUAGGAAAUGACAUGUCUAAUAUGCUAUCCUGUGCACGGGGAAAUACACCCAUUUGAUACUGAUCUUUUGUUGUAGUUGUUCUGUUUGGCUAUAUGUUUUCUCUGUUCAUGGCUUCUUAUUCACGUUUUCCUGUUUUAGUCCCAUGUAUCCCCGGAUCCUUUGUAAAGUGCAAGCAUCCCCAGUUCUUGGUGGAAUAUGACAAAGUAUCCACACACAUUUAAGUACAUACCAGGGCGGGGCUCGUUUGGGAAACAAGGCACUUUAAUAUUUGCUUUUGGUCAACCUCAGCUCUCGAGGCACAGAAAGCUGUUACCUUCCACUUUAACUGUAAACAGGCCAGCAAUUCCCACAGCAGAGCAUUCAAGUGCAAAGGUGUCAAAUGGUUAUAAUGUAUGCAGAUCAGGGAUAAUAACAUUGGCCUGCCCAUAGACAUAAGCUCUCUCUGUCCAUAUCAGCCUGGUAGCCGCUUGAGAGAAUCGAUUUUCUACAAACAAGGCAUGAAAGUGCUCCCACUUCCUUUGAAAGGACAGCACAGCCGGGGUGCCGUUCACUCUUAUUGAUUUUAAAUCACAUUCAAUGACUGACUUUGAAUCAUCAACUGGGUUUCCCUGGAGUUAAAGUGCCAGAAAGAUUUAAUUAGAGAGCUGCAGUCCAGAUAAAAGAUAACCAUAUCAUCGACUUAAAAUCUGAACUGAGCUUCUCUUUUGAUGCUGAUGGGUGAAAAAAAAAAAAUCCGUGUUUUAGUUUUUUUCUAAAAUGUUUUCUGAGGUCGUGCAGGCUUCUUGAGGUCAGGGACUCUGCCUUCGAUAUCUCCGUAUCUGCAAAGCUUAGCAGAGGAUCUGGUGUUAAGUGGGCACUCUGGAAAAGUUUUCGCUUUAUUUCAUUGAAGUGUCCUUUACUUUUUAAAAAAAAAAUUUUCAAAAUGAAGUUAACAUCAGAUUGUAUAUUCCACACUCUAAAACAAUUUACAAAAUGUCCAGAAGCCUGUAAAUAUCUUGCCUUUAAGGCUUAAUAAGGGCAGGAAGUAUCUUGCUAUAUUUUUUAAUGUUUAUUUUAUCUUUGAGAGAGAGAGAGAGAGAGAGAGAGAGAGAGACAGCAUGCAUGCGAGUGGGGGAGGGGCAGAGAGAGAAGGGGACAGAGGUUCUCUGCUGAGCCAAAGUCGGUCCCUCAACCAACUGAGCCACCAAGGCGCGCCCUAGUGUAUCUUGCAAUUAGAAUGUGAAACAGGAAAAAGGUUUCUGAUGUCACCAGGGAAUGAUUUCAGCUAUAAACCUCAGCAAUGUUUGUGGUUCUUACCACGCUAUUAUAUUUUUCAUCCAUAAUGUAUACAUUAUAUAGAGUUUAUGGAGCUGUGGGAAAAUGUCUUUGGGAUAAAUUCUCACAGACAGAAUUGUUGGGUUGUAAGGUUUGCAUAUAUUGAAUUGACUAGCUAGUGUCAGAUUAUUCUCAAUAACGUUCCUUCCUAUCAACACUGUAACAUCCCAACAAGUCAACUAGUACUUGACAUUAUCCAGCUUUCUGAUUUUUGCCAGUCUGAUAAUAAGUGCGUCAUUAUUUCAUUUUCAAUUUCCUGAAGUAUUUGAGAUGCCCUGGUUUAUACACGGGGAAGCUGAGGCCCAGCAAGGGGAAGCCCUUUGCCCAAAGGCACACGGCUAGAUGUGUGCUGUCGGGUAAUAGAAUGGAUUUGCUCAUCUCACUUGGAGUCUGGGUGACCUUUUCAAAGAAUUUCCUUCUGUGGGGAAUCGCGUUACACAGAAUCCUGCUCAAGUUCCUCCGUUGUCAAUAGCCUACCAGUUCUAGAUUCACACAGUCAUCACUCUUCUAAUAUGCUUAAGAUCUUCUCAUUCAUGGGGCGCCUGGGUGGCUCGGUCAGUUAGGCGUCUGACUUCGGCUCUGGUUAUGAUCUCAAGGUUCAUGGGUUUGAGCCCCGCGUCAGGCUCUGUGCUGACAGCUCGGUGCCUGGAGCCUGCUUCGGAUUCUGUGUCUCCCUCUCUCUCUGCCCCUCCCCCGCUCACACUCUGGGUCUCUCUCUCUCUCAAAAAUAAAUAAACAUUAAAAAAAUUUAAAAAGAAAAAGAUCUUCUCAUUCGUUCCAGGAUGGAACUUGCAAGUUAGUAGUUCCAGAACAACCAGGUGGAGCUCUCCAUUUGGCAGAGAGGGGGAAAAACUGGCUGUUUGAUUAUGGGCAAAUAACAUAACUUCUGUGCAUCUCAACUGAUCCUUCUGCCAAAUGAGGACAAUCAAAUCCAAGUCAUGCAGAAUUGGGGGAGAUUAGAUGCGUAGUCAUGUAUAAAAAAUUCCCUAGCACAAAUCACAUCUGAUAUAUCACAAACAGUAAAUAAGUGGUUUAUGAUAUGUUUGUUAUUAUCUUAAUACCUUCAACACGGUAUCAGCACAAGCUUAUUUUCCUGAAAUAAAUAGGCAUUAAUUUUAAUAUAUGUAAAGCAUAUUUAUUAUAAAAGUCUAAAUGAACACAAACGUGUACAAUUUUUUAAGAAAAAUCAAAUUAGUUCCCAGUCACACUUCUCAGAGGUAACCCUAGUUCUUAAAGACCUUUUUCUUUGCAUACACAUUUAGAUUUACUGUUAACAAAAAUGGGAACAUUUUACACAUAUUUUCUGCAAUUUGACUUUUUCCUUGUCUAACUAUUUACAUCUUCAUUUAAAAGCCUUGCCUUCUGUGCCAUGGUUAUACCCAGAGGUUAGGCCAGUCGAUAUCUAAUAACUGGUUCCCUAGAAUAAAAAGGCCCUCAUCUGUACCAUUUCCCCUUUUCUGUGUUGCAAAUACCCCCACGGUUGAAUUCAGGCAACCACCGCAACAUCACUGAAUGCAGUAUUAGGAAGAAACGCUUAUUAUCAGCUCUUCCAAAGUGGUAUGAUAACCCUCCGGCACACCACUGGCUGUACUAUCAUCUUUUUAAAAGGGAUGUUUUCGUAAGCAACUUCUAAACAAAAGAGACAGAUUCUCUUAGGAUAGACCAAAAUUAUUAUGGUGUGGAACAGUAAAAGGAUUUCUCUUUGAAAAUGGAAGCAAGUACAUGAAUAACAAGUCUAUAUUUUCUCAAGAACAAUCUUUAUAAAAUGGCACAAGAAGCAUAAAAUAUAAGAUCUUACGGUUCAUAAAAGCACAUAACAAAUACCAUAUCAACGUCAUUUUACGAGAAACUUAAGUAUGCACACAUAUACACACAUUUAGAUGAACAUUCAAAGUUGUAUUUCGAUAAAUACUAGUUAAAUAUAAAGCCGACCAUGAUAAUUUUUCAAGUUUAUUUAUUGGUUUUUGAGAGAGAGAGAGAGAGAGAGAGAGGAAGCAGGGGAGAGACAGAGAGAGAGAGAGAGGGAAUCCCAAGCAGGUUCUGCACUGUCAGCACAGAGCAAGAUGCGGGGCUCGAACUCAUGAACUACGAGAUCGUGACCCGAGCCAAAAUCAAGAGUCAGAUGCUUAUCCUACUGAGCCAUCCAGGUUCCCCGACCAUGAGAAUUCUUAUCGACAGGCAGCAGGAUUAUUGGUCAUUUUAAUUUGUCUUGAAGCUUCUGCAUUUUCAAAAUAUUCUACAAAAAUCUCAUUAUGUUUGUAAUUUAUAUUCAUGGUUAAAAAUGAAAUUCCACUUUUAUGAUCAGAUUCUGCAGUCCUGGAGUACCCCACUUUUAAAAAGUGUUAGAAAUAUAAGGCAAGCAAAGCGCCGUAAGGACUCUGUGUAACUAGUCACUGAGAUAAUAUAUAAUUAUUUAGCCACCGAAUGUCCAAGGUCGAUUGUUUAAAUUUGCUAGCAUUUAGGGGCACCUGGGUGGCUCCGUAGGUUAAGCGUCCGACUUUGGCUCAGGUCACGAUCUCACGGUUCGUGAGUCUGAGCCCCGCGUAGGGCUCUGUGCUGUCAGUGCAGACCCUGCGUCGGAUCCUCUGUCUCCCUCUCUCUCCGCCCCUCCUGAGCUCGUGCUCUGUCUCUCUCAAAAAUAAACAUUGAAAAAUAAAUCCUGGUUUACUGCCAGCACCACUACUCCUUACAUCCCCUCCUUAUAUACUAAUACGUGAUAGUUACGAAUAAAUGCAAUUUAAUUACACAGGCAUGUACUAAAAUAUUAAAUGAAAUGGGUAACCUUCAGAGGCAGCUAAUGUCCACUGAGCAAUUUCAAUUUGCCCAGUAGACAGUAAGUACUGAAUAAAUGUUAGCUUCCGCUUGUGUUGUUCCAUCAUUUACUUCAAACUCUAGGCACAACUGUAGUCAGUAUCCCAUUAGCCAAACAGGAACCAUUCUAAGUUUUUCAGACAGGAAGGCAUUUAUUGCAGUAAAUUAGUUCUUCUCCAAGCCGUUGCGAGGGAUAAGACUGCCACUUAGUGACAAGAACUUCAUUUACCCUCCUAUGGGGAACAACUAAAACGAAAACCAAAACAGACGAAGUAUAUCGAGUAUCGGUGUGCAGGCCAUUGGCCGUUGGCUAACGAAGGCCAGCGAUGUCCGUGAGACGGGAUAAAAACAAGGUGUGCCCCAGGAGGACCCCACUUACCACCUGGAUUGACUUUCCGGGUCGCGGUGCCGGAACAGGAAACCCGGGAAGACCCCGGUGGCUCCCCCGAGGCGAAGAGGCAGAGCUGGGAGUCCAGGCUGAUCAGGGCGGCUGGAGUUCAGGGGGCAGAGCACCAAGAGGGGAAGGAGUUGAGGCGGGUAGAGAAGGGGAGAAGGAGAGAGACAGAAUGAGAGAAGGCCAGGGAUCUACAGCUGCCCCCCUGCAGUCCUCGGCAGACCACUCCUUGGCCCUCGUGAGCAAAUGUGGGUGAAGGAACUACCCUAGGCGAGGAAGGAACGACCCCAGGGGUUUCGGGGGAACAAUGCUCAGGGCUCCAACAGGGCUGAGAAUAGCGUACACGGUGUUCUGUGAUAACACGAGGUAGUGCACGCAGGGGGGUUUGCAGCCGGGGUUGGGGAAAACUACCCUAGACCGAAUAUUACUCUGGUCCCAUCGGACAAAGCUUAAAAGCGACACCCGAAAAUAUUGAAGUGUUUCCUAGGCGCUCACGAAACAAGCCAACCCCGUGUGUCUUUACCUUUAAAAUCUUUGUCAUAGCAUUGUGUAUUUAAGAAUUUCCUGUUUGUUUAUUUAUUUAUUUAUAAUAAUAUUUAUUGAUUUUUGAGAGAGAGAGAGAGAGAGAGAGUGCACGUGGGGGAGACCCAGAAGCCGAAGCAGGCUCCAGGCCCCGAGCCGUCAGCCCAGAGCCUGACGCGGGGCUCGAACUCACGGACCGCGAGAUCAUGACCUGAGCCGAAGUCGGACGCUUCACCGACUGAGCCACCCAGGCGCCCCUGGACUCUCCUGUUUAAAUGUGGGAUGUGUGUAUCACAUAUAUGACCUGCGGGAUUGUAGACUGGAAGUGUUUUGGAAGUCAUCCCAAACAAUUCCAAACCAUUAGGCCAGCAGUGUAACAGGGCCUUUUCCAAAUUAAGUCCGUUGCAGAAGACAAUGAUUUUUUUAAAGGAUAAGUACUAAAAAUGAGCUGUUUGGAAUAUUACAUAAACUUUUUUUUGCAUUUUUACUGUGGUAAAAAUAAAGUAAAAUUCCCCCCCCCCAACCAUUUUCAUUCACACCGCACUUAUUGCCAUUAUCCAUUUCCAGAACUUUUUCAUCAUUCCAAACAGAAACUCUGUACACAUCAGGCAGUAACUCCCCAUUCCUCCCUCCCCAAGCCCUGGGUAAUUUCUAUUCUACCGUCUGUAUUUAUGAAUUUGCCUGGUCUAGGUGCCUCAUAUAAGGGGAAUCAUACAAUUUUUGUCAUUUUGUGCCUGGCUGAUUUCACGUGGCAUGACGUUUUCCAGGUUUGUCCAUGCUGUAGCAGGUGUCAAAAUUUCCUUCCUUCUCCGGCCGAAUACUCUGCCAUUGCACGUAUGUGCCAUGUUUCAUUUAGCCGUUCACCCGUUGACGGGCCCUAUGUUGUUUUCACCUUUUAGCUAUCGUGAAUGUUGUUGCUGUGAAUGCUGGUGUGCAAGUAUUUGAGCAUAUAAUUUUUUUGAGUAUAUAAUUAGGAGUUGCUGGGCCAUAUGGUCAUUCUAUGCUUACUUUUUUGAGGAACCACCAAGCUGUUUUCCACAGCGACCGCACCAUUUUCCUUCCCAUCAGCAGUUCUUCUUCAUUUUUUCACACUAGCCAGUCUGGUGUGUGUGGAGUGGUACCUCACGAUUUGGACUUGCGUGUUUCUCUGACGACUAAUGACAUUGAGCAUCUUUUCAUGUACCUAUUGGCUGUUUGUACAUCUUCUUUGGGGAAAUAUAUAAAAAAAAAAUCCUUUGGCCAUCUUUGAAUUCAGCUUAGUUUUUGUUUAGUUGUAGAAUAAACCUAUACUUUUAAAACCUAAAUCACAACAAUGUUUAGAAUUUUAUCCAAAGGAUACAAAAAUACUGAUUUGAAGCACUAUCGACAAUAGCCAGAUUAUGGAAAGAGCCCAAAUGCCCAUCGACUGAUGAAUGGAUAAAGAAAAUGUGGUAUAUGGAAUACUAGUUGGUGAUGGAAAAGAAUGAAAUCGUACCUCUUGCAAAAAUGAGGAUGGAACUAGAGGGUAUUGUGCUAAGUGAAAUCAGUCAGUCAGAGAAAGACAAAUAUCACAUGACUUCACUCACGUGUGGAAUUUGAGAAACACAACAGAUGCACAUAGGGGAAGGGAAGGAAAAAAAAGAUAAAAACUAAGAGGGAGGCAAACCAUGAGAGACUCUUACAUACAGAGGACAAACUGAGGGUCGCUGGAGGGGAGGCGGGUGGGGGGAUGGGCUAAAUGGGUGAUGGGCAUUAAGGAGGGCGCUUGUGGGGAUGGGCACUGGGUGUCGUAUGUAAGUGAUGAAUCACUGGGUUCUACUCCAGAAGCCAAGAGUACACUGUAUGUUACCUAACUUGAAUUUCAAUUAAAAGAAUACAAUUUGACUUUAUUGAGGAAGAGUGUUUCGUCACUGUAGUUAUUUAGAAAUGCCCGGGGUGUGGGGAUAGUUAGAAGACCAGCCUUUACUUGGUUUUACAGUUGUAUUGAAACUCUGCAAAGAUCUUCCUUAUCACCUGUCCUGGGAGUGGAAUUCUCCCACCACCCCAUCCCCAGUUUCUUAGCAAGGAAGGAACCUAAUCAGUAUUGGAUUAGGUUCCCUCCAACCAUUAUUUCAGUCCUUGGGGGCGCCGACAGUGGCUUUCUGUAAGGUGAGCAUUUUGUGACUUCUGAGCACCUUUAGCUUACAGCGUACGGUGGUGGGGUGCAGAGAGCCCCAUGAUACGGUAGGUGGCCAGGAAGAGAUUGCUUUGCCUUUUGGGGGGAAAGUAUCAUAGUCACAGUCACCUUCCUCAUGUCAAACCCUCCUCCCAUCUGGGUUGUGGUAAUCUAGACCCUAAUGUUGCUCCUCACCCCCAAACAAAUGUAGUAACCUCACAUCCUUUUAUUCCUUGUCCCGGAGAUAAAGGGUUAAGCAGGGGUCUUUAUCUUCAGUGCUCAGUUCUAACCUGGUCCUUAUCCCUAAUGUCUGGCCAACUGUGGACCUGACGGUCUGGUCCCCCACUAUCCAGGGACCCCACAUCCCUCCCUUCUCACACGGAGAAUUCACAGAGACACACAAAAUACCAUCUUUUCACAACUUGAUUUUUAUUUUAAUCAUAGCCAUCAGUUUACCCUGCUCGUAGAAGACUCAGACUCUGUGUGGUUGGCCAUUUCCCAGAAACCAGGCCUCUGGAGACUCAACAGAUGUUUCUAAGGUCUUGGCCUUUUUUAUUCAGCUACUGGUCGCGCAAGUUAUGUGAAGUGGUGGGCUUCUCCGGGGUCUCUUGUUCUGGGACCUUUGGUCUUAUCUCUUAUUUUGAUUCCUUCUCUUACUUUGAUGCCAUUUCUAUCCAUCCUAUGGUAACAGAUGAAUAUUGUUGGCUUUAUGCUCUUUUAAGCUUUUUUGAAUGAGUGGUAGAUGUUUGAGAUUGCUUUUCUCAGGUUCCCUUGAAAGGGCCUUUUGAUCUUGCCUGGAAGGGCAAGAGAGUCAGCCCAGGGCACUACUUUGGAGAAAGAGGAUAGGACUAACUGGGAGGCGGGACAUCAUGAAGAAGGAUGUGGACCGAUCAGGGGUCUUGUGCCAGGCAAGGAGAGGGUAAAGGAUUUGGGAGACAAAGUCAAUAGGGGAAGAAGAAGAGCUUGCUUCAAGUCAUGUCACCUUGAUAUCAUCUUUGGACCUCGGUUGAUAGAGGGUCUUUCUCGUCUUCCUCCCUUUGGUCUUUGGAGUUUACUGUACUAUAAUUAUUCUAGGAUUCUAAGGUUUCCUGGUUGCCUUAGCCAUGAAGAAACCAAGAACUGGCCUAACUCAGAGCCUCUGACCUCCCUAUGUUUACCCUCCCCAGGACAACAAAGAGCCACAUUCUUCAGUUUGAUUGAUCAGCUAAGCACUACCCAAGCCAAUGGUGGCUUGGGGGCCUCAGGCAUCACAGGGAACCACUUUGGACAUCAACAUAGAGUGGUGGAUGCUGGGGAGGCCAUGAUAUGGCUUUGAAAUCACAAAGUACCACUCUUCACACCCCUGUGGGGGUGAUUCUGGGGAAGCUAAGGUUCUCUGGUUGGACAAAAGGGGCUUUCUUUAAGUCUUGAAAGAGCAUUCUCACACUGACCUGAUAACUUUCCUCAUAACUCCACAUUCAAUUCUGGAGGCUCACAGGGCAAAGAGAGGGUAUUUUCUCCAAGUCCUUCCCCAUGGCCACCCCAUUCCAUGAUUCAUUCUGUUCUCUCUCACCCUUCACCGUUACCUACCAUUUUGUAUAUCUUACCUAAAAUCUCCCCAGGCGAAUGUGGCCAUUUUUAAGUCUUUUUUUGUCUUGAGAGAGAGAGAGAGAGAGAGAUGGCAUGAGCAGGGGAGGGGCAGUGGGAGAGGGAGAGUCCUAAGCAGGCUCCAUACCCAGCACAAACCUGAAUAGGGCUCAAUCCCAAGACUGUGAGAUCAUGACCUGAGCCAAAAUCAAGAGCUGGACACUCAACCUACUGAGUCACCCACGUGCCCCAGUUUUAGGUCUUGACGGAGAUGUGGAUCAUCCUACUCCUCUCCUAUUAGAAUGGAUACAAUUAAAACGACAAUUACAAGGGUUGGUGAAGAGGCAGAGCAACUGGAAAUUUCUUCCAAAGUUGAACAACUUUUGGUCCUUAUGGUCUAGCCAUUGCACUCUUUUUUAAACAUGUUUGAUCUUAUUUAUUUGUUACUCUUAGAAAAUCUCAUUUUUGACUCAACUCAAACGUAGAGGUAGAAGUUCUCAGAGAGGACAGCGUCCGUCUCUUGGGAACUUAUCCCUGGCAUUCUUCUUUGGCCUCCUUCAUUCUCUUAGCCAAAAGUCUAGCACAUUCUGCAGCCUCUCCCUAUUUUUCUUAGUACGCCGUUUCUUCAGAAUGACACGUGAAAGUUUGUGUUGGAGGAUAUGUGGAGUAACAAGACGCCGAAUCUUGGGCACUUUGGUUCUAGGUUUCUUCCCUUUGCUUAGGGGCUUUCUCACAACAUACUGGUGGACAUCAUCUUCUUUACAGAGAUUGAAAGGUGUGCACAUUCUGCUAGGCUUUUUGGGCCCCAGGCGAUGAGGCACGGGGGCAUUGGUGCGUCCAGGAAUAUCCUUCUCCCCAUUGUUUUCACAAUGACCAAGUUGACAACACUGAGAUUGGCAUCCACAGUGCAACCCCAAACAGAUUUGCACUUUCUUUCUCCAGUCCUCCUUGGCCUAGGGCAGGAAUGCCCCUUACUCGGAAGCAUGUGGACACGGCCAUGGGUCAAGACACUCUGUUUCACGGGAAGCCUUGUUUGUCAUUGCCACCACGAAUUCAGGCCACAUAACUCUUCCACUCUUCACCCAGAACAUCAACAGCAACUUCUGUGGCCAUAUGCUUCUCAAAAACGGUAUGAAGUUGUGUUCAUUGUCCACUUCAAUGAGUUUCUGGCAGCCGAUAGCUGGGAAAGAGAUGUUCAACUUCAUCCUGAGGCAGCCUACUGCCUUUGAGGUGCCACAGAAAAGAGCCAGUCAUUGCAUUCUUUAAUUCUUUAUUCAAGGACAACGAAAAUAUGUCUAUACAAAGCUUUGCAGGAACGUUCAUAGUAGCUUUGGUUAUUUGUAAUAACCCAAAUGGGAAACAAAGCAAGUGCAAGUGUCCAUCAAUGGGUGUGUGGGUGAACAAGGUACAGCCAUAUAAUCAAAUGCUAUUCAGUAAGACAAAGUAAUGAAACCUGAUGCCUGCAGCAACAUUGAUGAAUCUCAGAAAACAUUAUGAUGAGUAAAAGAAGCCAGACAAAAAAAAAGAGUACAUACUGUAAAGGUUCCAUUUAUGCAAAACUUAAAAAUGUAAACUAAUCUAUAAUGACAUAAAGCGGAUCAUUAGCUGCCUGGGGCUGGGGACAAAGAAGAGGGUUAAUCAUAUCCAUCAUAGCUCAAUAGAUGUGGUAAAGCAUCAGCAAGCAAGCAAGCAAGCAAGCAAAUAACAAAGCACUGGAAGGAGUAAAGAAGAUGCACGUCAAGCAGAAGCUUCCAGAGACGCUGCCGCCCAGGGUCAGGGAUCUGUAGCAAGUUCACUGCCAACCUCACAGAUCCUUUUCAGCCUCCAAGCAGAUUAAGUGGCUGAGGGAUGCAGAAGUGCAGCGAAAAGCAUGCAUUUGGGGAUCCAAGAAUCUGCUUGCCAUUUACACAAGAAGAAGCAAAUGUAUUUGUGAUUCUCAUUUGCCUCUGAAACCUCAUGCCAGUGGGUCUUAGCAUGGAACCUAAGACUCUAUGGACCUCAGUCCAGCAAGGGAGUCCCGAGUUUGCAUCUUCUGCGACAGAGGGCAAGAUACAGAGCAGGGAGGUGAAAGAGUACUGAAUGCCAAAAGAGAGUUAGCAGGCCCGGCGUAGGAUUGGGAGGCCUGAUGGCACUGACACGGUUCUAGAUCAGAAGCAACCUUUGGAAGAGCUGCUUAGGCAAAGCGAGGGAACACGUGGAGCAUUUCUUCUGCACCUGCUGUUGAACUUUGGAUAGCCAAAGUCAGCUGCUCAUAGCUGACUGUGUAAUUCACCACACAAGCUGGGACGCUUUUUUAAAAAGCGAAAUUGGGGUAUUAAUGAUCACACCUGAAAAACAAGAGUAAACUAGGAUCGUGCUGGAAAAACAGGGACAAAUAGUCCAGCGAUGUAAGUGAGAAGAGCUCUCUGGAUCAAUUAGUUAUGUCGGAUUCAGCAUUCUCCAAGUCACAGUUUGACAGAUGGCCAUGAAACGUCUCUGGGGUUCUCUAAUUGCAACGAGGCUUGGGAAAAAGUCGUUUCACCUGGAUUAUCGUGUUGAGUUCAUGACGAGGCCUAAGAGGCUGCUGCUUUGAGAACACGUGAGCCUCCAAAGUAAGAGUAUGACUGAUGCGAAGUUGCCUGAUACCUUUGAGGCACCAGAUUACGGAAUGAACCAGAGAAGGGAAAUGAAUAUUGAGGUUUUAUGGGGGGAAAUGAAGAGAUCGUCCUCAGGCAACGGAUGGAACUUAGAUUUAUUUAAGCACUCUGCUUACGCCACCUCAGUCCAUUCUCGUAACAGCGCUAUGACACGGGUGGCGUUAACCCAAUUUUGUCAAGUGACAGCUAGUGGUGAGUCAGGAAUUGCGCGUAAUUCUCUGGGACUCCAAGCUUAGUGUUCAUUCCACUAAGGCCGUGCAGUCCCUAGUAUCAUCAUUCACCACUGAUUUCUUUCCUCGCUCAUAGUAUUGAGACAAACCUGAGUCUGAACAUAUUGGAAGAUUCAUGAAACUGAAUCUGCAACUGGAUCUGGAAUGUUUUAAAUGUUCUUUUACAAAAAUUAUAACGCAAGUAGACACUGGAACCUCAUGGUCUACAGUGUUUUGGGUUGUGCUUUUCAAGCUCUAAUGUGCUUACGAAUCACUUGAUAAAAUUCAGAUUCAGAUUCAGUAGGCCUGAGGCAAAGCUUGAGAUUUUGCCUUUCUAACAAGCUCCCAAGUAAUACCGAUGCUUCUGGUCUGUGGGCCGGUCUCGCGUAGGAGACUGCAGGAUAUGAAUUUGAUCCGGGUCAUUCGUGAACUCCACUUUAAGAAGGUUUAAUCCUGCCAGGGACAAGAUAACUCCUUUGCGACUCUGUUUUGUGUUGUCUCUAAUAGGGACCCGUUGGCAUUAAAGCAAACCACCAGCAUACCUGAGUUUUUAUUUUUUAUUUUUGUGUUUUUAAAUGUGUCUGCAACGUGGGGGGUUAUCAUUCUUGGGUUGUAUUAGUUGUAGGCGGGGGUACCGAUAUAUGGUGUCAAAUGCAUUACUCCUCAUCAGAUGCGCUUUUUCACUUCUCGCCCGGAAGUGUAUCUUCUCCUGUUUUCUCUCCUCUACUGUCCGACAUGAAUGACAGGGCCGACCAUUAUGCUCCCUGAAUUGCCAAAGUCAAUAAAAAUAUUAAAGAAUAUCUGUUUGGGGCGCCUGGGUGGCUCAGUCGGUUAAGCAUCCGACCUCACCUCAGUUCAGGAUCUCACCACUCGUGAGUUCGAGCCCCACGUCGCGCCCUGUGCUCACGGCUCAGAGCCUGGAUCCUGCUUCUAGUUCUGUGUCUCCCUCUCUCUGCCCCUCCCCCACUCACGCUCUGUCUCUUUCUCUCAAAAAUAAAUAAAGUUAAAAAUUAAAAAAAAAAAAUAUCUGUUUGCCUUUGUAGAAAAUCCGCACAUUCAGAACACCAGUUAGCCAAGACAGAUCGGCAUUGGCUCUAUUUAGUAGAAAGGAUGGCCGAAUCACUUCUUGGGUAACUCUGGCUUCAGGCCUCUUCCAAAUCAUUAAACAUACUUGCACAAGUUAAGGAGAGUCUCUGAGGAAGAUAACCAAGAAAAGGAUAGCAAACUUAAAUUAGGAGUAGAAACACAUGAUAUUUUGGAGAGCGUAAAAAACAAACAAAAAAACAACCCUGAAAGACCUGGAAAAAUGAGUUCUGUUUAGAGAGAAAAGGGACAGAAUGAAUAUAAAAUUACGGAAAACCUCCUCCUUCUCUUCUAACGAUAAAAAAGAGCAAUAUCACCAAAACCGAACCUCAGGUCAAGCAGUAGCAAGAGGAGAUGAUCUGACUUCCCACCAUCCCAACGAUACCACCUUCUUGUUUCUUUGUUUCUACCCUACCACCGAUGACUUCAUUACUUUGAAAGGAUCUUUGAAAACCCUUGAGUCAUUCUGGAAGUCUUUCCAAUUGUGGUCUGAACAACCAAUAUGAGGAAUUACUUUUUUUCAUCUUUAACCUCUUGGAAACAAAGAACAUUUUGGGAAAUUGACAUUGCUUGUGUCAUUUAUGUAAUGCUCAUUCCCUUAUAAAUAUCAUUCUACUCCAAAGCCAGCACUCAGAAAGACAGCUACCCUCGUCUGCGAUGACUUUCCCACAGUUCCAAUAAAUGUCAUUGAUGCUUUCAUAAAGAAAACAUCCCCCCCCCCAUUCCCUUGGAUGUUAAAAUAUUUACUCGCCAAUAACACGAACACGUGUGUUUCACUUGGAGAAGAUGUGGUUCCUCAAAGGCUUUUCAGAAAUCAACAGCGUGCAGAUUGAUCCACGAGAUCAUAGGAAAAUCCUGUUACUUUGAAAUUUCAAAGUGUUUUCAUCUAUAUUUCUGAUGGAUCUUCAAUUGUCAGGGACUCUUCAAUGGCCCCCGUUUAGCCAUGCGUGGUAAAGGACCUGUAAAUAGCUGCAAGGGUGACCAUAACAGAGAAUGUAAAGGAGGUCUUUUAUUAAGUUGAUCUUCAAGGUCUGUUUGUUCAAAUUUUACAGCAUCACUUUGGGUUUUGGUAACCCACCCCUGUAUGUAGGUUGGGAAAAAAAAUUAACAAUAUCGGCCCACUAAAUCUUUCCAAAUCCUCAGGGAAACAGUUUCAACAGAGAAGGGCCUUCUGAGUUCUUCCUCCCCCUCUCCUACUAUUCACUUUUCAGCUACUUUUCUAAAGGCGUCUUUGAGAUCACAUAUCCUUUUGGUCAGCGCUAGAAGAAGAGGGCUUUCUGCCGCCGACGCCGGCUCCUUCUUAGCAACAGAUGACACACGCGCACCCGGAACAGCUACAAGCUCUGUGCUUUCUGUGUGUCUCUUGUAUGAUCAGUGACAAUUUGCUUAGUUUCCCCUCACCUGCUUCCUAGCCAGCGAUUACCCAGAGACAGAAGCUUUGUGUAACCCGGACUUACAGCUAUUAGAAUAGGAUGUAAUUGUACCCACUGUGAUUGGCUCCGGUGGCAGAGCCCCAUUAACCUGGCGCGGCCGAUCUUAAAGCAGCCUGUGAUCUAGCUCAUUAAAUUUUAUCUUCGGUAACAAGGAAAGUUAUGACCUUUGCUGUUCCUGUCUUCAGGUAUUUUUGCAGACAUGUCGCCGAGGAGAUCAAACCAUGCGCUGGCAUCGAAAGGCAGAGGCAAGCCGACCUGGUAUACCCCGAGUGACAAAAAAUUGAGUUCCAAGUGCGAUGCAGAUAGAAGACGCCACCCAUGCUUAAAGAGGGUCCCGAGACGUGUGCUGCAAGGAAAGCAUUUUGCGGGGAGAGGUGCCCUCAUGCCCAGGCACCCUUCCUCUCCAGCAACACGGACGGUGCCUGGCAGCCGAGCUCUGUGUCCUCGUGGAGGGCACGGGAGAUUUCUCGGCACGCGUGUGUUGCCACGGUAUAAUGACCGGACGAACAAAGCCAGAGAGUUUAUCUGUCUCCUCGGUGUGGCCUAGUGUGCCCCUUUGACAGUUGCUUAGGUAGCAUCUCAGCUCAUUUCAAAGUAAAGAUUUCAAAACAGCCCAAUACACAUUGUGUUUUAUUUCUGGAACCAUCCGAACAAUUAAAUCGCAUCACAUCAGUCGUCCCUUUCAUUCAGAG
rnacentral:lncRNA from 1 species